AUUGAACGCUGGCGGCAGGCCUAACACAUGCAAGUCGAACGAGUGGCGGACGGGUGAGUAAUGUCUGGGAAACUGCCCUAUGGAGGGGGAUAACUCCUGGAAACGGUAGCUCAUACCGCAUACCAUCGGCUUUUCCCAGAUGGGAUUGGCUCGUAGGUGGGUUAACGGCUCACCUAGGCGACGAUCUCUAGCUGGUCUGAGAGGAUGAUCAGCCAAACUGGGACUGAGACACGGCCCAGAAUCCUACGGGAGGCAGCAGUGGGGAAUAUUGCACAAUGGGCGAAAGCCUGAUGCAGCCAUGCCGCGUGUAUGAAGAAGGCCUUAGGGUUGUAAAGUACUGUCAGCGGGGAGGCGUUACCCGAAGAAGAAGCACCGGCUAACUCCGUGCCAGCAGCCGCGGUAAUUC
rnacentral:rRNA from 1 species